CGCAAGCCUGACCCAGCGACGCCGCGUGGAGGACGAAGCCCUUCGGGGUGUAAACUCCUUUUAGUGGGGACGAACGCAGACGGUACCCACAGAAAAAGCCCCGGCUAACUACGUGCCAGCAGCCGCGGUAAUACGUAGGGGGCGAGCGUUGCCCGAAUUUACUGGGCGUAAAGCGCACGUAGGCGGCUCCGUAAGUCUGGUGUGAAAUCUCACGGCUCAACCGGGAGGCUGCACCGGAUACUGCGGAGCUCGAGGACGGGAGAGGAGAUUGGAAUUCCCGGUGUAGCGGUGAAAUGCAUUGAUAUCGGGAGGAACACCAGUGGCGAAGGCGGAUCUCUGGCCCGUUGCUGACGCUGAGGGACGAAAGCUAGGGGAGCG
rnacentral:rRNA from 1 species